rnacentral:lncRNA from 13 species
ACCUGUUGCCAGCAUUUUGGGAUGCGGAGGCAGGAGGAUCACUUAAAGCCAUGAGUUCCAGACCAGCCUGGGCACCAAACAGGUGUAAGGAUGAUCAUGAUCAGGAGGAGCAUGAGCAAGAAUAGAGCUGUGGACAGAAAUACGUGGGAUCAGAUAUUGUAAAAACAAAAUCAACAGCUAAAUGACUCAACUGCAGUUGUACCAGUGAGAAUCUCGGGAGCCUAGCAGAAGAUUAUGCUGGGAAAAGUUCAGGGAGCUAAGCUGAGAUUUUUUGCUGCCCACCACAGGGGCCAGGAAGGUGAGCCUUAGUUCGUUGUCAAACU